rnacentral:rRNA from 1 species
GAUGAACGCUGGCGGCGUGCUUAACACAUGCAAGUCGAACGGAAAGGCUCCUGCUUGCAGGGGUACUCGAGUGGCGAACGGGUGAGUAACACGUGGGUGAUCUGCCCUGCACUUCGGGAUAAGCCUGGGAAACUGGGUCUAAUACCGGAUAGGACCACAUUUUGGAUGGUGUGGUGGAAAGUUUUUCGGUGUGGGAUGAGCUCGCGGCCUAUCAGCUUGUUGGUGGGGUAAUGGCCUACCAAGGCGUCGACGGGUAGCCGGCCUGUGAGGGUGUACGGCCACAUUGGGACUGGGAUACGGCCCAGACUCCUACGGGAGGCAGCAGUGGGGAAUAUUGCACAAUGGGCGCAAGCCUGAUGCAGCGACGCCGCGUGGGGGGUGACGGCCUUCGGGUUGUAGACUCCUUUCGCUAGGGACGAAGCGUUUUUGUGACGGUACCUGGAGAAGAAGCACCGGCUAACUACGUG